rnacentral:rRNA from 1 species
AUGAUGCCGAAAAUGAUGGUGACCAGAUCAUCCGCGGAGGACCCUCAUGCCGCUGCUGGCGAGCAGCAGCAAGUGGCGGACAAGGCGCCUCGCACCACCGAGCAGGAGCUGGCGCCCAAGGCGGCGGACAAGGCGGCUCACGCCAGCAACGGCGAGCAGGAGCCGGCGCCCAAGGAGGAGCCUAGGCAGCCGACGCCGCAGAGGCAGCAGCCACCGCGCGAGGCGUCGAUGAAGGAGAAAGGCAAGGCGCCGAUGGUGCAGGAGCCCCCAGCGGUGGCGCGACACGUCGCGCAGAGGGCGGCGGCCGCCGCGGUGGCGGCGGUGGCCUGGCCGCCCGUGCCGUUCAUCGCGACCCAGCUCACCCGCAGAGAGAAGGAGGAGGACUGGUUCGUGAUGACUGGCGGCAGGCUGCCCUACCGCCCCCAGCAGUGCCGCCCCAAGUCCGUAGAGGACAAGCUCCAGACGCUGCCUGAGGUGACCAGGGCCAGGUACAUGGUGCGCCAGAAGAAGCAAAAGAAGGAGGACGACCUGAGCUCUGAGAGGUGCGAUUCCGACGACGACACGACGGGAGAAGAAAAUCAUUUUGGCGUCGUCGAUGCGGAGGAGCGUGGGAGCCGGAGGAAGAGGGGUUGA